CGGGGCGUAGCGCAGCCGGCUAGCGCGCAACGUUCGGGACGUUGAGGUCGACGGUUCGAAUCCGUCCGCCCCGA
rnacentral:tRNA from 1 species